UUGCUCUUCGGCACAUUUUAAUACUUACCUUGUGGGGUCCCUGGGAGAAAUGUAAAAGAUCGGCUCUAAAUUCUUGCCCAAGUGAUCGCCACGGAGCAUGUGCUCAAAAAAAGUCAGCGUGACUCAGA